rnacentral:rRNA from 1 species
AUACGGAGGGUGCAAGCGUUAUUCGGAAUCACUGGGCGUAAAGGACGCGAAGGCGGGUUGGCAAGUCAGAUGUGAAAUCCUACAGCUUAACUGUAGAACUGCAUUUGAAACUGCUAACCUAGAGUAUGGGAGGGGGAGAUGGAAUUAGUGGUGUAGGGGUAAAAUCCGUAGAUAUCACUAGGAAUACCGAAAGCGAAGGCGAUCUCCUGGAACAUAACUGACGCUAAGGCGUGAAAGCGUGGGGAGCAAACAGGAUUAGAAACCCUAGUAGUCC